AGAGUUUGAUCCUGGCUCAGAACGAACGCUGGCGGCAGGCCUAACACAUGCAAGUCGAACGCCCCGCAAGGGGAGUGGCAGACGGGUGAGUAACACGUGGGAACCUUCCCUAUAGUACGGAAUAGCCCAGGGAAACUUGGAGUAAUACCGUAUACGCCCGAAAGGGGAAAGAAUUUCGCUAUAGGAUGGGCCCGCGUAGGAUUAGCUAGUUGGUGAGGUAACGGCUCACCAAGGCGACGAUCCUUAGCUGGUUUGAGAGAACGACCAGCCACACUGGGACUGAGACACGGCCCAGACUCCUACGGGAGGCAGCAGUGGGGAAUAUUGGACAAUGGGCGCAAGCCUGAUCCAGCCAUGCCGCGUGAGUGAUGAAGGCCUUAGGGUUGUAAAGCUCUUUUGGCGGGGACGAUAAUGACGUACCCGCAGAAUA
rnacentral:rRNA from 1 species